GAUGAAGAACGUAGUGAAAUGCGAUAAGUAAUGUGAAUUGCAGAAUUCAGUGAAUCAUCGAAUCUUUGAACGCACAUUGCGCCCAUUAGUAUUCUAGUGGGCAUGCCUGUUCGAGCGUCAUUAAUUCCACUUAAGCCCUGCUUAGUGUUGGGAAUCUACUCUAGUGGUGCUACCCUGGAGCUACCCCUGAAAGGGGGCUGGCCCGGUAGCUACCCUGUAGUUCCUCAAAGAUAGUGCGCGGAGUUGCGUGGUCCUCUGAGCUUAGUAACUAUACACCUAGCUUUUGAGUGUCCCGCGGCGCCUGCCGUUUAAACCCCAUCUUUUAAUGGUUGACCUCGGAUCAGGUAGGAAUACCCACUGAACUUAAGCAUAUCAAUAAGCGGAGGA
rnacentral:misc_RNA from 1 species